rnacentral:rRNA from 1 species
AUAGAGACUUGGACUUGGCAGUUUCCUUGUUGUCAUCAAAGACAUCAAGGAAUCUGCUGAAACAAUAUGUUGCUUCGUCUCUCUUCCAUGAGUCGCAGCCGAGUAGUCAACUCGUUUGAUUGCUUAUCAGUCUGUGAUGACUUGGUCGUGAGGGCGAGUCGUCUAGGCGAUUCGUUUAGUAGCAAUGUCAAAAAGGAAACCCCACACAUUCUCGACCUGAGCUCAG